rnacentral:ncRNA from 1 species
UGCCGCCGUUGCAUAUGCUGAUUGUAGGAUUGCUGCUCGCUCCUGUCUUCUGCUACUCAUUCACAGACCUGGUCGUGUUGAGCAGUUGUUUGGCAGAUGUUAGUGGUGUUUCCUACUUUCAGUCGUCAGCAUCACUGGCUGAGUGGAAAUAAUCCUUGGAUGCUAAUUGGUUCGCUAUCUGUGAAUUGGUUGCUUCCUUGCGAUACUCACUACUCGGUCAGUGAGGAAGUGCGUUUGCUGGUCAACGAGCUUUCUAACUGUCAUUACCCUGCGCUUUUCGAUUCGUCGAGUGGCCAGGAUGUGGCUUUGAGAUUGUUCGCACUUAGUAAUCGCGAUGCUGGCUUCCAACGGUUGCCUCCGGCCCGUCUUGAAACACGGACCAAGGAGUCUAACGUAUGUGCGAGUGUGUGAGUGGCAAACUUAUACGCGUAAUGAAAGUGAGGCCGUAUGGCCAUGUUGGGGUCACCAACAACCGACCUUGAUCUUCGGUGAAAGGUUUGAGUAUGAGCAUAUCCGUUAGGACCCGAAAGAUGGUGAACUAUGCCUGAGCAGGGUGAAGCCAGGGGAAACUCUGGUGGAGGCUCGUAGCGAUACUGACGUGCAAAUCGUUCGUCAGACUUGGGUAUAGGGGCGAAAGACUAAUCGAACCAUCUAGUAGCUGGUUCCCUCCGAAGUUUCCCUCAGGAUAGCUAGAGUCUUUAUCAGUUUUGUCAGGUAAAGCGAAUGAUUAGAGGUUCCGGGGAAGUAACUUCCUCGACCUAUUCUCAAACUUUAAAUGGGCAAGAUCCAGUAGUUACUUAAUUGAACUAUUGGGGUCAAUGAGACGACUCUAAGUGGGCCAUUUUUGGUAAGCAGAACUGGCGAUGAGGGAUGAACCUAACGCUCGGUUAAGGUGCUAAACUGCUCGCUCAUCAGAUACCACAAAGGGGUGUUGGUCGAUCUUAACAGCAGGACGGUGGUCAUGGAAGUCGAAAUCCGCUAAGGAGUGUGUAACAACUCACCUGCCGAAUCGACUAGCCCCGAAAA